rnacentral:rRNA from 1 species
GAUGAACGCUAGCUACAGGCUUAACACAUGCAAGUCGAGGGGUAACGAGAGGAAAGCUUGCUUUCCUUGUCGACGACCGGCGCACGGGUGAGUAACGCGUAUCCAACCUGCCCCCAACUAGGGAAUAACCUUGCGAAAGUAAGACUAAUACCCUAUAAUUUCCUCAGAUGACAUCUGACGAGGAAUAAAGAUUUAUCGGUUGUGGAUGGGGAUGCGUCUGAUUAGCUUGUUGGCGGGGUAACGGCCCACCAAGGCAACGAUCAGUAGGGGUUCUGAGAGGAAGGUCCCCCACAUUGGAACUGAGACACGGUCCAAACUCCUACGGGAGGCAGCAGUGAGGAAAAUUGGUCAAUGGGCGGAAGCCUGAACCAGCCAAGUAGCGUGCAGGAUGACGGCCCUAUGGGUUGUAAACUGCUUUUAUACAGGAAUAAAGUUAGCCACGUGUGGUUAUUUGUAGGUACUGUAUGAAUAAGGACCGGCUAAUUCCGUGCCAGCCGCCGCGGUAAAAC